CAGUAACAACUUGUCAGUCUUCCAGACCUAGAAGAUAUGUGUCAUGGGCCCCCGACCCCUGCUCCUGUUGCUCUCGGGGGCCCUGGCCCUGACCGAGACCAGGGCUGACCCGCACAGCCUGAGCUACUUGCACACCACCGUGUACCGACCAGGCCGUGGAGACUACCGGUACACCGUGGCCGGCUACGUGGACGACACGGAGAUCAUGCGGUUCCACAGCGACCCCGCGAGUGCCAGGCUGGAGCCCCGGGUGGCGUGGAUCAAGCGGCCGUGGGUGGAGCAGGAGGGCGCAGGGUUUUGGCAGGAGCAGACGCUGGAAAUCAAGCACAACGAACAGCGGAGCAGAGCGAACCUGAACAAGCUGCGCGCCCACUACAACCAGAGCGCGCACGGGUCGCCCACUUGGCAGGAAAUGACCGGCUGCGUCCUGGGGCCAGACGGACGCUUCCUCCGCGGGUUCAGUCAGUUCGCCUACGACGGCGCCGACUUCCUCGCCCUGAACCAGGGCCUAGGAUCCUGGACCGCAGCCUCCGGGGUCAGCUGGAGCGACAUUGUGCGGGUCCCUGACGCGGAGGUUCAGAGGUUCUUCCUGGAGGACAUGUGUGUGCACCGACUCCAGCUGCUCCUGGAGAAGGGGAAGGACACGCUGCAAAGAGCAGACCCUCCAAAGACACACGUGACCCACCACCCCAUCUCUGACCAGGAGGUCACCCUGAAGUGCUGGGCCCUGGGCUUCUACCCUGCGGACAUCACCCUGACCUGGCAGCAUGAAGGGGAGGACCUGACCCAGGACAUGGAGCUUGUGGAGACCAGGCCUGCAGGGGACGGGACCUUCCAGAAGUGGGCAGCUGUGGUCGUGCCCCCUGGAGAGGAGCAGAGAUACACGUGCCAUGUGCAGCACCAGGGGCUGCCUGAGCCCCUGACCCUGAGAUGGGACCCCCCUCCUCAGACCACCAUCACCAUCGUGGGCAUUGCUGCUGCCCUGAGUCUCCUUGGAGCUGUGGCUGCUGGAGCUGUGAUGUGGAGAAGGAAGUGCUCAGGUGGGCAAAGGGUGGGGCUGAGUUCCCUGUCCCCCUGGGGGUUAAGCCCAGGUGGAAGUGUGCUCUGCCUGGUUAAUGGUCAUGGUGUUCCCACACGGGUGCUUAUCCAUCUGGGGCCUAUUUCCUAACACUGACUCUUUAGUGAGGCCUGUGGGAAAGUGAGGGACACAUUUAUCACCUGAUGAUUCUAGCAAUGGGGACUGAUUCCCAGGUAUCACAGGUCAGAAGGAGAGGUCCUUGCUAAGGAUGGACGUCCACACAGGCAGUUGGUCCAGUCCUGGAACACGUACUUUCCCUGUGUUUCCUGAUCCCACCCUGGGUGUUCAGUCCCAGUUCUGGAAACGUCCCUGUGCUUCAGGAGUGUGGGGCUCCUUUAGGGUCACGGGACCCAGCCUCCCCCCUGACUUCUCACAGAACCUGUUCUUCCCACAGGUAUAGACAGGACAAUCUACUCUCAGGCUGACUUUUCUUCCAGAGUGACAGAGCUGCUUUGUCCAGGACUUGGUGCUGAAAUUGUCAGUGUAGCCUCCUCUCUGAGAUUAUGAAUUCCUGACUGCU